CGGCGUGCUUAACACAUGCAAGUCGAGUGAAGCUCCUUCGGGAGUGGAUUAGCGGCGGACGGGUGAGUAACACGUGGGUAACCUACCUCAAAGAGGGGGAUAGCCUCCCGAAAGGGAGAUUAAUACCGCAUAAUAAUCAGUUUUCACAUGGAGACUGAUUUAAAGGAGUAAUCCGCUUUGAGAUGGACCCGCGGCGCAUUAGCUAGUUGGUAGGGUAACGGCCUACCAAGGCGACGAUGCGUAGCCGACCUGAGAGGUUGAUCGGCCACAUUGGAACUGAGAGACCGUCCAGACUCCUACGGGAGGCAGCAGUGGGGAAUAUUGCACAAUGGGCGAAAGCCUGAUGCAGCAACGCCGCGUGAGUGAAGAAGGUUUUCGAAUUGUAAAGCUCUGUCUUUGGGGACGAUAAUGACGGUACCCAAGGAGGAAGCCACGGCUAACUACGUGCCAGCAGCCGCGGUAAUACGUAGGUGGCGAGCGUUGUCCGG
rnacentral:rRNA from 1 species